GUGGAGGAAAAGAAAAUAUCAAUGAUUCCCCAGUAACGGCGAGUGAACAGGGAAAAGCUCAAAGUUGGAACCUUCUUGGCCUAGCCAAGACGGAUUGUAAACUAAAGUCUUCGAGUAGUUCGGCUAGCCUGGUUAUCAAGUCCUCUGGAAAGGGGCGACAUAGAGGGUGAAACCCCCGUUUAUGGCCAGAGUUUAGUCCUGCGUUCGCUUGGGGACGAAGAGUCAGGUUGUUUGGGAAUGCAGCCUAAAGUGGGAGGUAAAUCUCUCCUAAAGCUAAAUAUUGACGAAAGACCGAUAGCGAACAAGUACCGUGAGGGAAAGAUGAAAAGCACUUUGAAAAGAGGGUCAAAAAGUACGUGAAAUUGCUAAAAGGGAACCGUAUGAAAUCAGCCUGACCUCUUGAUAAUCAGCCUGGGCUUUGGCCUGGGUGCACUUGUCAUUGGGUUAGCCAGCAGCAGUUUGGCCUAAAGGAAAAAACUUGAAGGAAUGUGGCCUUGGCUUCGGCUGAGGUGUUUAUAGCCUUUAGGAAAAUACUUUGGGCUAGACUGAGGAACGCAGCGGGCCGUUUUUUCGGCAAAGGGUUUGGGGUGCUUUGCUAAAUGUAUGCGAAAAUUUCUGCUUCGGGUGGUGUUCGUAUAUUUGUUUGGUAAACUCGCCUCAAUUCUCCUUUCUCUCGCUUAGGUUGUUGGCCUAAUGAUUUUAUAUGAC
rnacentral:rRNA from 1 species